AGUGCCAUCUGCCGGAUUAUGCACAGUGUCUCUGCCUUGACCUUUGUGUAAUCGUUCAACAAUAACAAACCCUUUCAGCUUCUAAAAAACCGCGGUAAGAGAAAUCCCUCAGAAAAUAACCCGUCGUCAGAGAAAAAAGAGCUGGCUAAGAGCCUAUGUGUCAUUUUUCUCAGUUGAGCUGAAAUGAUUGGCAGCAUUGUUCAUGAAAUUCAGAUGUUAGGGUUAUCUUCUUCUAAUUAAAGCAGACAGUGGACCGGGAUUUGUUCAGGAGCCAGACAGAAAUUUAAACGGACUGUGUAAAGCUGUAAAGAGGCUCCCGAGGGAUCUCAUUAUGAACUAUAUGAAGAGAGCCCAUCUGCACCAAGGCUUUGUCUUCAUUCUGCUGUAAAGAUGAGUUCUUGGCUGCUUGCUGUGUCAUGGCAUUUCAACACCAUCAGAAAAUCAUUACAGAUCAGAGAGGAACAGGAAGAUAGACAUGUCAGAUGUUAGACAUACAUUGUCACACAGAGUAAUGCAGCACCUCCUCAUGGUCUUCAUGGUCUUCAUGAUCUUCUGAUGCAUGCUUCUCCAGAUAGUCGGUCUAAGUGUUGGAAAAUGCUCUCCUCAGGUUGAGAUAUGGCAGAGAUGAGCUCCUCACACUCAUGAGCUGUCAGCAGCUCCACCAGGCGCUCCAGUUGGUUAUUGCUGUUGCUGCAAAGCAAGUACAGGAACUUGCUACUGCCAGUACAUACGCUGAUACAGUGCAGUGAGUAUU